rnacentral:SRP_RNA from 1 species
GCUGGAUGAGGUGGUGCGUGCCUGUAGUCCCAGUUACUGGGGAGACCGAGAUGGAAGGAUCACUUGAGCCCAGGAGUUCUGGGCUGCAGUGCAUUCUGCCCAUCCGGUGUCCACAUCCAAAGUGGGCAUUAAUAUGGUGACCUCUUAGGAGUGGGGGACCACUAGAUUGCCUAAGGAGGGGUAAACCAGCCUAGACUGGAAACAGAGCAGGCCAAACUCCUGUGCAGAUCAGUAGUGGGAUUGCACCUGUGAAUAACCACUGCACUUGAGCCUGGGCAAUACAGCAAGAUCCCAUCUCU